GAUGAACGCUAGCGACAGGCCUAACACAUGCAAGUCGAGGGGCAGCACAUGAGUAGCAAUACGAUGGUGGCGACCGGCGCACGGGUGAGUAACACGUAUGCAACCUACCUUCUACCGGGGGAUAACCCGUUGAAAGACGGACUAAUACCCUAUAAUACAGGGGCUCCGCAUGGAGAUAUUUGUUAAAGAUUCAUCAGUAGAAGAUGGGCAUGCGCAUGAUUAGCUAGUUGGCGGGGUAACGGCCCACCAAGGCAUCGAUCAUUAGGGGUUCUGAGAGGAAGGUCCCCCACACUGGUACUGAGACACGGACCAGACUCCUACGGGAGGCAGCAGUGAGGAAUAUUGGUCAAUGGGCGAGAGCCUGAACCAGCCAAGUCGCGUGAAGGAAGACUGUCCUAUGGAUUGUAAACUUCUUUUGUACGGGAAUAAAGUGGGCUACGUGUAGCCUUUUGUAUGUACCGUACGAAUAAGGAUCGGCUAACUCCGUGCCAGCAGCCG
rnacentral:rRNA from 1 species